AACUCUUAGCGGUGUAUCACUUGGCUCGUGCGCCGAUGAAGAACGCAGCUAGCUGCGAGAACUAAUGUGAAUUGCAGGACAUAUUGAUUGUCGACAUUUUGAAUACAGAUUGCGGCCCUGGGUUCCUCCUGGGGGACACGUCUGUCUGAGCAUCA